rnacentral:rRNA from 1 species
AUUGAACGCUGGCGGCAUGCCUUACACAUGCAAGUCGAACGGUAACGCGGGGCAACCUGGCGACGAGUGGCGAACGGGUGAGUAAUGCAUCGGAACGUGCCCAGUAGUGGGGGAUAGCCCGGCGAAAGCCGGAUUAAUACCGCAUACGACCUACGGGUGAAAGCGGGGGACCGUAAGGCCUCGCGCCAUUGGAGCGGCCGAUGUCAGAUUAGGUUGUUGGUGGGGUAAAAGCCUACCAAGCCGACGAUCGGUAGCUGGUCUGAGAGGACGACCAGCCACACUGGGACUGAGACACGGCCCAGACUCCUACGGGAGGCAGCAGUGGGGAAUUUUGGAAAAUGGGGGCAACCCUGAUCCAGCCAUGCCGCGUGCGGGAAGAAGGCCUUCGGGUUGUAAACCGCUUUUGUCAGGGAAGAAACGCUCUGGGCUAAUACCCCGGGGUAAUGACGGUACCUGAAGAAUAAGCACCGGCUAACUACGUGCCAGCCGCCGCAGUAACAC